GCCAGGCAUGGUAGCACAUGCCUGUAGUCCCAGCUACUUGGGAGGCUGAGGCAGGAGAAUCACUUGAACCCGGGAGGUGGAGGUUGCAGUGAGCCAAGAUGGCACCACUGCACUCCAGCCUGGGUGACAGAGUGAGACUCUGUCUCCA
rnacentral:sRNA from 13 species